rnacentral:rRNA from 1 species
GACUCUCGGCAACGGAUAUCUCGGCUCUUGCAUCAAUGAAGAACAUAGUGAAAUGCGAUACUUGGUGUGAAUUGUAGAAUCCCAUGAACCAUCGAGUUUUUAAAUGCAAUUUGCGCCUAAAGCCAUUACGCCAAGGGCAUGCCUGCCUGGGUGUCA